rnacentral:rRNA from 1 species
GACGAACGCUGGCGGCGUGCUUAACACAUGCAAGUCGAACGGUGAACGAGGGAGCUUGCUCCCUCCGGAUCAGUGGCGAACGGGUGAGUAACACGUGAGCAAUCUGCCCCGAACUCUGGGAUAAGCGUUGGAAACGACGUCUAAUACCGGAUACGACGCGGGAGGGCAUCCUCUCCGCGUGGAAAGAACUUCGGUUCGGGAUGAGCUCGCGGCCUAUCAGCUUGCUGGUGAGGUAACGGCUCACCAAGGCGACGACGGGUAGCCGGCCUGAGAGGGUGACCGGCCACACUGGGACUGAGACACGGCCCAGACUCCUACGGGAGGCAGCAGUGGGGAAUAUUGCACAAUGGGCGCAAGCCUGAUGCAGCAACGCCGCGUGAGGGACGACGGCCUUCGGGUUGUAAACCUCUUUUAGCAGGGAAGAAGCGAAAGUGACGGUACCUGCAGAAAAAGCACCGGCUAACUACGUG